rnacentral:rRNA from 1 species
CAGUAGCCGCGGGAAUACGUAGGGUGCGAGCGUUAAUCGGAAUUACUGGGCGUAAAGCGUGCGCAGGCGGUUAUAUAAGACAGAUGUGAAAUCCCCGGGCUCAACCUGGGACCUGCAUUUGUGACUGUAUAGCUAGAGUACGGUAGAGGGGGAUGGAAUUCCGCGUGUAGCAGUGAAAUGCGUAGAUAUGCGGAGGAGCACCGAUGGCGAAGGCAAUCCCCUGGACCUGUACUGACGCCCAUGCACGAAAGCGUGGGGAGCAAACAGGAUUAGAUACCCCGGUAGUCCCUGUCUCUUAUAC